AUUGAACGCUGGCGGCAUGCUUUACACAUGCAAGUCGAACGGUAACAGGCCGCAAGGUGCUGACGAGUGGCGAACGGGUGAGUAAUGCAUCGGAACGUGCCCAGUCGUGGGGGAUAACGCCGCGAAAGAGGCGCUAAUACCGCAUACGACCUAUGGAUGAAAGCGGGGGACCGUAAGGCCUCGCGCGAUUGGAGCGGCCGAUGUCAGAUUAGGUAGUUGGUGGGGUAAGGGCUCACCAAGCCGACGAUCUGUAGCUGGUCUGGGAGGACGACCAGCCACACUGGGACUGAGACACGGCCCAGACUCCUACGGGAGGCAGCAGUGGGGAAUUUUGGACAAUGGACGCAAGCCUGAUCCAGCAAUGCCGCGUGCAGGAAGAAGGCCUUCGGGUUGUAAACUGCUUUUGUACGGAACGAAACGGUCCGGGUUAAUACCCGGGGCUAAUGACGGUACCGUAAGAAUAAGCACCGGCUAACUACGUGCCAGCAGCCGCCGUAACAC
rnacentral:rRNA from 1 species